rnacentral:snoRNA from 1 species
GCAUGGUCGUGGAUUUAUGGAGGAGCCCUGCCAUGGCUCCUCCCCAGUGUGCCCCAUGCAAGAGCAGUCAUCCCCCCUGAACCAUGGCCUCCCCUAAUGUCAGAGUGAGGUCCCUGAAAUGGGGAGUACAGCU